rnacentral:rRNA from 1 species
UUGAAGAAGACGAGGUAGAUAGGCCGGAGGUGUAAGAGUAGAAAUACUUUCAGCUGACCGGUACUAAUAAGUCGAGGACUUGACCUU